rnacentral:rRNA from 1 species
UACGUAGGCAGCGAGCGUUUGUUCGGAGUUACUGGGCGUAAAGGGUGUGUAGGCGGUUCUUUAAGUUUGGUGUGAAAUCUCCCGGCUCAACCGGGAGGGUGCGCCGAAUACUGAGGGACUAGAGUAUGGGAUGGGAAAGUGGAAUUCCUGGUGUAGCGGUGAAAUGCGUAGAUAUCAGGAGGAACACCUGUGGUGUAGACGGCUUUCUGGACCAUAACUGACGCUGAGACACGAAAGCGUGGGUAGCAAACAGG